UACAUGGGGUGCAAACGUUGCUCGGAAUUAUUGGGCGUAAAGCGCGCGUAGGCGGUUACUUAAGUCGGGGGUGAAAUCCUGGAGCUCAACUCCAGAAUUGCCUUCGAUACUGGCUUUCUAGAGGCUGGAAGAGGUUAGUGGAAUUCCCAGUGUAGAGGUGAAAUUCGUAGAUAUUGGGAAGAACACCAGUGGCGAAGGCGGCUAACUGGUCCAGAUCUGACGCUGAGGUGCGAAAGCGUGGGGAGCAAACAGG
rnacentral:rRNA from 1 species